UAGGGAAUCUUCCGCAAUGGACGAAAGUCUGACGGAGCAACGCCGCGUGAGCGAAGAAGGCCUUCGGGUCGUAAAGCUCUGUUGUUAGGGAAGAACAAGUACGAGAGUAACUGCUCGUACCUUGACGGUACCUAACCAGAAAGCCACGGCUAACUACGUGCCAGCAGCCGCGGUAAUACGUAGGUGGCAAGCGUUGUCCGGAAUUAUUGGGCGUAAAGCGCGCGCAGGUGGUUCCUUAAGUCUGAUGUGAAAGCCCACGGCUCAACCGUGGAGGGUCAUUGGAAACUGGGGAACUUGAGUGCAGAAGAGGAAAGUGGAAUUCCAAGUGUAGCGGUGAAAUGCGUAGAGAUUUGGAGGAACACCAGUGGCGAAGGCGACUUUCUGGUCUGUAACUGACACUGAGGCGCGAAAGCGUGGGGAGCAAACA
rnacentral:rRNA from 2 species